rnacentral:rRNA from 1 species
UGGGGAAUAUUGCACAAUGGGCGCAAGCCUGAUGCAGCCAUGCCGCGUGUGUGAAGAAGGCCUUCGGGUUGUAAAGCACUUUCAGCGGGGAGGAAGGCGGUGAGGUUAAUAACCUCACCGAUUGACGUUACCCGCAGAAGAAGCACCGGCUAACUCCGUGCCAGCAGCCGCGGUAAUACGGAGGGUGCAAGCGUUAAUCGGAAUUACUGGGCGUAAAGCGCACGCAGGCGGUUGAUUGAGUCAGAUGUGAAAUCCCCGGGCUUAACCCGGGAAUUGCAUCUGAUACUGGUCAGCUAGAGUCUUGUAGAGGGGGGUAGAAUUCCAUGUGUAGCGGUGAAAUGCGUAGAGAUCUGGAGGAAUACCGGUGGCGAAUGCGGCCCCCUGGACGAAGACUGACGCUCAGGUGCGAAAGCGUGGGGAGCAAACAGG